AUUACAGCUGCAUGUUGAAAUUGACCAAACUGUCCCUUUAAGGCAGGCUUACAGGCCGAACACAAAGAGCCGCCUAGUACACCCUUGAUGACGUAUCCGGCCAGAUGGUAUAGCACACAGGACUCCGCUUUUGUGGAAAUGAUUCUGCUCCUACUGCAUGAGACUGCUGCUGUUGAUGGGGAAGUGCUUUUGCCAGAAAUGGCUUAGUUGCAGGUGGUGGCUUUCUUGAGUUGCACUGAUAAGGUUGAUGCUUUCAAUGCAUUGGAAGUUCCAGCAUGUUCCAGUGAAUUCCAAUUCUUCAUGCAUUAUUGAUUUCACACACACACACACACACACACACACACACACACACACACACACACACACACACGUCUUGUCAUGUACACAGACAUGCCGUUUUAUUCAUAGUUAUUUUGUUUGGGCUGUUUAUGUUUCUAUUUGGAGUAUUUUUUUUAUUUCAAAUAAAAGAUUGAACCAUUCAAGCACAGGUUGUACAGCUGUGGGUUAUUUACUUCAUGUUCAUUGCAUCAUGUUCAUGUUCAUUUGCAUCCUGCAUUGAGUGGUUUGACAGGUCUGAUGAUGACCAGCAUCAUAAAGGCUGAAAUUAACAAAUGCUAUAUUACUGUAGGCCUACAACUGGGACAUGCUGGGUUUAUGUAUUUAUCUUUUUAUGUAUUGGAAGUAUUUUAUCCAUUAAAAUAUCCUACUGCAAAUCUGCUGAAUCCAAAACAAAUAGACAUUAUCAAGGGCUACGGACAAUUAGCAUCUCAAUGGUAAGUAAUGGAGCUUCCUAGCUAAGAUGACGUUUCCCUCCCAAAGUGUAACUGCAAUGAUAUUACCGUAUUACGGUACUGACACUUCAAUGUUUUUAUAUGACAAUGAAGGCCAUAAAAUGGCCUACAAAAAACAAAACGAACUCGUUCUUUUGGGGGCGGCAUAAUCUGAUAUAAUUACCGUUAAAGGACGCUCUCGCUCAAUGAAAUGUAUUGACAGCUCCCGGUGUAUAGGACCCUUCUGCGGUGGGCGUAGACUACGCAAACCACGUGACCACUCGUCGGCAAAGA